UCGGGCUCGGGGAGAUUGUCGGCCUUUGGUCGGAUAGUUUCUCCGGGCCUUUCUGCCUGGGAACCCUAUUCUACUUAACUGUAGGGUAGUGGGACGCAGGCCGUUUACUUUGAAAAAAUUAGAGUGUUCAAAGCAGGCCUACGCUUGAAUACAUUAGCAUGGAAUAAUGGAAUAGGACUUUGGUCUUAUUUGUUGGUUUAUGGGACCGAAGUAAUGAUUAACAGGGACAGUUGGGGCCGUUUAUAUUUCGUUGUCAGAGGUGAAAUUCUUGGAUUUACGAAAGAUAAACUUCUGCGAAAGCAUUCGGCAAGGAUGUUUUCAUUGAUCAAGAACGAAAGUUAGGGGAUCGAAGACGAUCAGAUACCGUCGUAGUCUUAACCAUAAACUAUGCCGACUAGGGAUCAGUGGAUGUCAAUUUGCGACUCCAUUGGCACCUUGUGAGAAAUCAAAGUUUUUGGGUUCCGGGGGGAGUAU
rnacentral:rRNA from 1 species